rnacentral:rRNA from 1 species
UGGAUUAGUGGCGAACGGGUGAGUAACACGUGAGCAAUCUGCCCUUGACUCUGGGAUAAGCGUUGGAAACGACGUCUAAUACCGGAUACGACCCUCGGAGGCAUCUCCUGGGGGUGGAAAGAAUUUUGGUCAAGGAUGAGCUCGCGGCCUAUCAGCUUGUUGGUGAGGUAAUGGCUCACCAAGGCGACGACGGGUAGCCGGCCUGAGAGGGUGACCGGCCACACUGGGACUGAGACACGGCCCAGACUCCUACGGGAGGCAGCAGUGGGGAAUAUUGCACAAUGGGCGAAAGCCUGAUGCAGCAACGCCGCGUGAGGGAUGACGGCCUUCGGGUUGUAAACCUCUUUUAGUAGGGAAGAAGCGAAAGUGACGGUACCUGCAGAAAAAGCACCGGCUAACUACGUGCCAGCAGCCGCGGUAAUACGUAGGGUGCAAGCGUUGUCCGGAAUUAUUGGGCGUAAAGAGCUCGUAGGCGGUUUGUCGCGUCUGCUGUGAAAUCUGGGGGCUCAACCCCCAGCCUGCAGUGGGUACGGGCAGACUAGAGUGCGGUAGGGGAGAUUGGAAUUCCUGGUGUAGCGGUGGAAUGCGCAGAUAUCAGGAGGAACACCGAUGGCGAAGGCAGAUCUCUGGGCCGUAACUGACGCUGAGGAGCGAAAGCAUGGGGAGCGAACAGGAUUAGAUACCCUGGUAGUCCAUGCCGUAGACGUUGGGAACUAGAUGUGGGGAC